AGAUUGAACGCUGGCGGCAUGCCUUACACAUGCAAGUCGAACGGCAGCACGGGAGCAGUCCUGGUGGCGAGUGGCGAACGGGUGAGUAAUACAUCGGAACGUGCCCAAUCGUGGGGGAUAACGCAGCGAAAGCUGUGCUAAUACCGCAUAAGAUCUACGGAUGAAAGCAGGGGAUCGCAAGACCUUGCGCGAAUGGAGCGGCCGAUGGCAGAUUAGGUAGUUGGUGAGGUAAAGGCUCACCAAGCCUUCGAUCUGUAGCUGGUCUGAGAGGACGACCAGCCACACUGGGACUGAGACACGGCCCAGACUCCUACGGGAGCAGCAGUGGGAAUUUGGAC
rnacentral:rRNA from 1 species